rnacentral:rRNA from 1 species
AGAGCGAACGCUGGCGGCAGGCUUAACACAUGCAAGUCGAGCGGGCGUAGCAAUACGUCAGCGGCAGACGGGUGAGUAACGCGUGGGAACAUACCUUUUGGUUCGGAACAACCCAGGGAAACUUGGGCUAAUACCGGAUAAGCCCUUACGGGGAAAGAUUUAUCGCCAAAAGAUUGGCCCGCGUCUGAUUAGCUAGUUGGUGAGGUAACGGCUCACCAAGGCGACGAUCAGUAGCUGGUCUGAGAGGUUGGCCGGCCACACUGGAACUGAGACACGGUCCAGACUCCUACGGGAGGCAGCAGUGGGGAAUCUUGCACAAUGGACGAAAGUCUGAUGCAGCAACGCCGCGUGGGGGAUGAAGCUUCUCGGAGUGUAAACCCCUUUCGACCCGGAAGAAUGCCCGCAAGGGUAUGACGGUACGGGUAUAAGAAGCCCGGCUAACUACGCGCCAGCAGCCGC